rnacentral:rRNA from 1 species
CCUAGGAAUCUGCCUGGUAGUGGGGGAUAACGUUCGGAAACGGACGGUAAUAGCGCAUACGUCCUACGGGAGAAAGGGGGGGACCUUCGGGCCUUGCGCUAUCAGAUGAGCCUGGGUCGGAUUAGGUAGUUGGUGAGGUAAUGGCUCACCAAGGCGACGAUCCGUAACUGGUCUGAGAAGAUGAUCAGUCACACUGGAAGUGAGACACGGUCCACCCUCUUACGGGAGGCAGCAGUGGGGAAUAUUGGACAAUGG